UUUACCCUGGAGUGUUCGUCAGCGGAUUUAUGUCCCUGAGCCGAUAAGCAACACGUAAGGGUUAGUACUUGGUAGCUAUUGAGCAUGCUCGGCUCGUACCGAGAAGCCUACGGUUAUCCUUGCUGAUCCGCCUUGAACCAGCUGGUUCAAGGGCUACAAUCCUCAACGGCACUCUGGGGUUCCU
rfam:Vibrio furnissii NCTC 11218 chromosome 1, complete sequence.